rnacentral:rRNA from 1 species
ACGGUAACUUAUGAAUAAGGAUCGGCUAACUACGUGCCAGCAGCCGCGGUCAUACGUAGGAUCCGAGCGUUAUCCGGAGUGACUGGGCGUAAAGAGUUGCGUAGGUGGUUAUAUAAGUGAAUAGUGAAAGCCGGCGGCUCAACCGUACGGACUAUUAUUCAAACUGUAUAACUCGAGAAUGGUAGAGGUAACUGGAAUUUCUUGUGUAGGAGUGAAAUCCGUAGAUAUAAGAAGGAACACCAAUGGCGUAGGCAGGUUACUGGACCAUUUCUGACACUAAGGCACGAAAGCGUGGGGAGCGAACCGGAUUAGAUACCCGGGUAGUCCACGCCGUAAACGAUGGAUACUAGCUGUUGGAGGUAUCGACCCCUUCAGUAGCGAAGCUAACGCGUUAAGUAUCCCGCCUGUGGAGUACGGUCGCAAGACUAAAACAUAAAGGAAUUGACGGGGACCCGCACAAGCGGUGGAUCGUGUUCUUUAAUUCGAUGCUAAACGAAAAACCUUACCAGGGUUUGACAUCCUUGGAAUCUUUCCGAAAGGAGAGAGUGCUUUAUUGA